GAUGAACGCUAGCUACAGGCUUAACACAUGCAAGUCGAACGGAGCGCUUUGGAAAGAGACUUCGGUCAAUUGAAGGAGUUGCUUAGUGGCGGACUGGUGAGUAACGCGUGAGGAACCUGCCUUUCAGAGGGGGGACAACAGUUGGAAACGACUGCUAAUACCGCAUAACGUCAUUUGGGGGCAUCCCCGAGUGACCAAAGAUUUUAUCGCUGAAAGAUGGACUCGCGUCCGAUUAGCUAGAUGGUGGGGUAACGGCCUACCAUGGCGACGAUCGGUAGCCGAACUGAGAGGUUGAUCGGCCGCAUUGGGACUGAGACACGGCCCAGACUCCUACGGGAGGCAGCAGUGGGGGAUAUUGCACAAUGGAGGAAACUCUGAUGCAGCAACGCCGCGUGAGGGAAGACGGUCUUCGGAUUGUAAACCUAAGUUAUCAGGGACGAUUAUGACGGUACCUGAAGAGAAAGCUCCGGCUAACUACGUG
rnacentral:rRNA from 1 species